rnacentral:lncRNA from 1 species
UUCAGCCAGUGCAUUCCCCAGGGAGCCACAACAUGCAGCUGGAACAGCAAAAAGCUGGAAUUGAAAGCUAUGCUGACUUUUAUUGGGAAGUCUUCAGCUGUCUAGUGAAGAAGUCAGAGCUCCAGCUGUUUCCUCCACAUCUGGGCUCUCUAGUGCUGCUAACUGCUGUUUGUGAGGUCCCAGGUGGAGGCAGGAAUGGAGGUGGAGCAGAGCAGCACUCUGAGGAGGAGUAAGGAGCUGUGGCCAAAGCCUUGAAGAAACUCAAGGAGGGAAUUGGAGGAGGUGGCAAAGCUCCCAAGUUAUCCAGAGACCUGUGGUUUCUCCAUGCCCAGAGCUGCCCCAGCAGAAGCUUCUAGAAGAGUUAGAGGUCUUCAAUUCAGCAAAUUCCCUUUUCCUCCUGUUGCUCCAGUGGUGUCCUGCUGUCCUGGCUUUGUGAGGUUCCCAGAGUUAUUCUGGACCCCGAUAAAUCAGACCUUAAAUAUGGAGAAAUUACCUGCACCUGGGUUUUCUUCUGAGAAUAAUAUAUGUGCAUUGCAGUGUUGGCUAACAAUGCCUAGGACUGCUGGAGGAACUCUUGCAAGUGACCCAUUUUUUUUGGUGAGAUAAUCUGUGGGUUAUUAAAAAGACAUAUAUUUAAAAAUCCUAAAG